UACGAUGGGGUCCUCUUUAAGAUAUUCAUUAGCUGCUGAUGCGGAGCGGAAGUCGUCGAGCUCAAAUUUAGCCGGUAUGACGGAAUAUUCUUCAGUAGGCCUGCCUCUGAUGCAGUACUCGAUGGAUUUCUCACUCCUUGUGGACAAAUGCUGUUGGAAUUUUCCUCUGUACGUUUCUUUAUGCCACCAUCCAUCUUCUGAAUUUCGGAAAACAAAAUCGACUACAUGCAGGAUGCGAAUAUCAACGCUAAUUUCUAGAAACGCGUCGUACCAAUUUAUAGUUUGCAAUGGAUUAGACUUCAGUAACGAAAAUUGCUGUUGAGACAGCCACCAUCAUCGCAAAUUAAUUGAACGGAAGUUAUCCAGCUAGACAUUACGACGAAGAUAGUUUGAAAGUGAUGACUAAAGGUGAAUAAUUUAAGCUUCGAAACCGAACAAAUCGUUAAAUUGAUCAUCUUUUAAAUUGAUUUUUUUGUUAAUAUUAAAAUUCUAAAUUUAGCUUGGAAAUUUAUAGAGAAAGUACUGAGUAUUCACAAAAUAAUUAGCAAUUUUUUCUAAGAUAAAAAAGUAGCAAAAAUGCUAACUAAAAGUUUUUUUUUAAAUGUGAACUAUCAGAUUGAU